UCCUGGCUCAGGAUGAACGCUAGCUACAGGCUUAACACAUGCAAGUCGAGGGGAAACGACAUCGAAAGCUUGCUUUUGAUGGGCGUCGACCGGCGCACGGGUGAGUAACGCGUAUCCAACCUGCCCACCACUUGGGGAUAACCUUGCGAAAGUAAGACUAAUACCCAAUGAUAUCUCUAGAAGACAUCUGAAAGAGAUUAAAGAUUUAUCGGUGAUGGAUGGGGAUGCGUCUGAUUAGCUUGUUGGCGGGGUAACGGCCCACCAAGGCAACGAUCAGUAGGGGUUCUGAGAGGAAGGUCCCCCACAUUGGAACUGAGACACGGUCCAAACUCCUACGGGAGGCAGCAGUGAGGAAUAUUGGUCAAUGGACGAGAGUCUGAACCAGCCAAGUAGCGUGCAGGAUGACGGCCCUAUGGGUUGUAAACUGCUUUUAUAAGGGAAUAAAGUGAGUCUCGUGAGACUUUUUGCAUGUACCUUAUGAAUAAGGACCGGCUAAUUCCGUGCCAGCAGCCGCGGUAAUACGGAAGGUCCGGGCGUUAUCCGGAUUUAUUGGGUUUAAAGGGAGCGUAGGCCGGAGAUUAAGCGUGUUGUGAAAUGUAGACGCUCAACGUCUGCACUGCAGCGCGAACUGGUUUCCUUGAGUACGCACAAAGUGGGCGGAAUUCGUGGUGUAGCGGUGAAAUGCUUAGAUAUCACGAAGAACUCCGAUUGCGAAGGCAGCUCACUGGAGCGCAACUGACGCUGAAGCUCGAAAGUGCGGGUAUCGAACAGGAUUAGAUACCCUGGUAGUCCGCACGGUAAACGAUGGAUGCCCGCUGUUGGUCUGAAUAGGUCAGCGGCCAAGCGAAAGCAUUAAGCAUCCCACCUGGGGAGUACGCCGGCAACGGUGAAACUCAAAUGAAUUGACGGAAGGGCGAAUU
rnacentral:rRNA from 1 species